UAAUAAUAAUAAUAGCUAACAUUUAUUAAACACCAUAUUCCAGACACUGUGCUUAAAACCUGUCUUCCAUUUUUCUCAUUUUAAUUCUUAUAUAACUCAAUGGCCUAGGUGCCACUAUUAAUCCCAUUUUAGAGAUAAAGAAAUAGAAGCUUGAGAGGUGUGGCAGAUAUAGUUGAUGUUCCCUGUCGUCCUUUUGCUGAUAGGAUCUGCACCCUGGGUUAAGUGGGACAUGUGGCUGCUCUUUCCAGGCUCCCCUGCAGCUGGCUCUGCCCUUUGUAACUGGUUUGGGCAAAUAGGAUGUGAGCUAAAGAAUGUGUGUCAUUUCUGAAUUUUGGCCUUGUAACAUUGUCCUUGGGACUUGACUGAAGACAUAGCAGUGACCUAGCUUCAACCAAGCCAAUGAAGACCGUAUGUUUAGGGGAAGGCACAGCACAAACUGGGGAUAACCGGGUUCCUAAAGAAUUUUGUGCAGCAGAGCUCAUCUGAAUUCACAUCUCAGGACUAUGGUAAGAGAGAGAAAUAAAUGACUAUCUGGCUUAAGCUACUUUGUUUUGGAAUCUUUUUGUGUUAGAAGCUUGGCCUUUACCCUAAAUAAUAUAGGAAGUUAAAGAAAUGUACUCAUGUUAAUAAGUAGAGCCAGGAUUCAAACCCAAGGAGUCUGAAUGCAGAAUUUCUUUGUAUUCCCAAUCUCUAACAUAGUGUCUGGUACAUAGUUCAAUACAUGUGUGAUGAAUUGAACGGAAUCUUCCUCUUGGGUAAUAGUUUUAUACCCUAACUCCACCAAAUAUUUCACUUGAGCUGCUGACAAGUGCAAAAUUGACUGAUUUGAGAUUUAUCUCUUCUGCAGUUCAGCCUAUGCAGCUGAUUUUCUGAUUAACAGUGAAAUGCUUCAUUGCUGACAGGACAUCUUCUCAAAAGAUUAAGGGGAAAAUCUAAUUAAUAUCCCUUCAGGCCACUUUACCUACAAUUCACUUUUAGUUCACAAUUGGAAAAUAUCAGAAGCUGAUGAUAAAUAUGUUAAAGAAUGUAACUGCUUCUACAAAAACCUGCCCAGAAUUAAACCUUCCUAUUGUUCUUCAAUAGAAUUGUCUUAAGCCAGAAGCAGCAUCUUAAAGACUAGGGGAGAAUUGUGCGCAUGACAUUUACACAUGCCUGUGGAGGCUACAGUCUCUUCUCAAACUGAAUUCCCAGUCCGAUUUUAUUAUUUUUGUUUUUAGUUCAGAUGUCUUGAUUUUCCUUUCCCUGACCUAUGACCACACACCACGAUGUCCCAAACUUCUCACAUUAUAGUUUCACAUUAAGAGAGGGGCCUGGAGUGAUUGUCUGCAUGCAGUGGACCCAGUGAGGCCCUAGGAGAACAUGAAGAAAGUACUAGCAUGAACGGUACAUGCCAUGGACUCCGAAAAUAUCCCUGUUGGCUAUGAAAUGGUAAAGUAGGUGCAGCCACACAGGAAAACAAAAACAAGGCUUGGAAGAAGUUGAUUAUAUUGACAAGUCCGAGAGAGGAAGUCACUGCAUGCCAUGCAGGGCCACAGGACAAUCACUAGGUUUCAGUCAGGUGGCAGAAAGGAGCAAGGGGAAAGUCAAGGCCAGAGCCUUUAUUGUGGUUUCUGUGGGAAACCCUAUAGAAAGAGCUGGGUAAGGAUAAACAGUUCAGGACUGACCAGUUUAGAGAAUUCCCAUGGGCUUUGGGCAAUAGGGAUUGUCUCUAGUUGCCUGGUAGCUGGGAUGAUUUAAGGCAAAGGAGUACAGGCUUACUGGGUGAGACAUAGAUAAGCAGGUGUUUGGAGCUAUAGACUCAGGAUUGGUUGGUUUGCAUAUGAAAGAAGUGAUCCCAGCUGAGCCCUUUGCUAUCCUUAAGAAUGGAUUAGCCCUGGGAGGAGCCUCUCUCGUGGCCAGCAGCUUUUCCAAGGCGUUAAAAACAUCAUAAAAUAUAGAAAAUAAAAGACCUGAUUAAUACACCAUGCAUAAAGGAGUUUAUAUCUACAGGAGAAGUAAGUCUGUACAUUAAAAGGUAAAUAAUAAGACAAGGUAAUUGUGAGAAAUGAGAUGAUUCAUUUCCCGAAAUACCAAAUAAAAGCUGUGCUGUCUAGUUAAUAGGUUUACAACCUGUUGGAAGUAUGUGCGAACCCGUCCUUCCACAGUGGAGCCCCAAACCCUUAGAUACUUCACUUCCUGGUUCUUCUUCCCCUCUCCAUUUUGCAGGCUUAUUUUUUGUGGGCUUUGCAAUAAGCCUCUGCCAAAGAACUGAAGUCUCCGCAUCACCUCAAGGAAUGUACAUUUGUUCCAAUCAGACUGCUUUUUGCCUUAAAAGGGCAUAGGCGAUGUCUGGAACUGAAAUGGAAGAAUGCAAUCACAGAUCUGAACACAUGCAACAUGGAAAGAGCGUGUUUCAUCCAAAUCUCUAGGAUGAAGCAUCAUGACCUAGGUAAGAAAACUGGAUCCAACACAAGGAGACCUCAGACCCUAGAGUGGCUCUCCACUAGCUGAGAGAUUUGGGGUAAGUUGAGUCACCUCUCUGAGCUUUACUUUUUUAUCUUUGAAAUAAAUUUCAUCUCUCAUAUUGUUCAAAAUAUUAAAUAUUUCUUUUUGUUUUCUAAAUGUUUAUUGUUGAGAGAGAGAGAAAAAAAUCUUAGGUGGGGGAGGGGCAGAGGGGGGAACAGAGGAUCCAAAGCGCGCCCUGUGCUGACAGCAGAGAGCAUGAUGCGGGGCUGGAGAUCCUGACCUGAGCCAAAGUCAGAUGCUUAACUGACUGAGCCACCCAGGUGCCCUAAGAUGUUAAAUAUUUCUAACAUUCAGUUUUGGUAAGGGUGUGGAGAGAUGGGCAAUCUUAAUACACUGUUGGUGAGGAUUAAACCAAUGCAGUUUUGUGGAGAACAAUUUGGCAGAAUCUUCUAAAAGUGUCGUCUAUGAUCAGAAAGUCAUGCAGAGAAUCUGUUUUCCAUAGUCAAGCAUACAAAGUUUUGUUUACUACAGCAUUUUUUCCUAAUAGCACAAUGUUGGAAACAAUCAAAAGGUUUAUUCAUAAAGGAAUAGUUUAAUAAAUUAUGACACACUCAGAAAUAGAAUACUAGAGAACCAGUAAAAAGAAGGCCAAUAUUAAUUAGAAACGUGUCCAUGAUAUUUACGUUUAUGAUCAAAAGGUUCAUGAUAAUUAAAUUUAAAAACAAAUCCCAGCAAACUGUAGUGCCAUGCAUGUUGCAGGAAAGAAGAAGAAGGAGAAGAAGGAGAAAGAAGAAAGAAAAUAGAAGAAAAAAAAACACAAAGAGGAGCACCUGAUUGGCUUAGUCGGUUAAGCGUCCGACUUCAGCUCAGGCCAUGAUCUAACGGUUCACGAGUUCAAGCCCUGCAUCAGCCUCUGUGCUGACAGCUCAGAGCCAGGAGCCUCUUCAGAUUCUGUGCCUCCCUCUCUCUCAGCCCUUCCUCCACUCAUGCUAGGUCUCUGUCUCUCAAAAAUAAACAAACAUUAAAAAAACUUUUUCUAAGGAAAAUUAAAUAAAUUAAAAUGUAUUGUUCCCCUGAAAAAAAAUAAUAAUUUAUUCUUCUUUCUGAAUUGCUUA